CCUACGGGAGGCUGCAGUGGGGAAUAUUGCACAAUGGGCGCAAGCCUGAUGCAGCCAUGCCGCGUGUGUGAAGAAGGCCUUCGGGUUGUAAAGCACUUUCAGCGGGGAGGAAGGCGGUGAGGUUAAUAACCUCAUCGAUUGACGUUACCCGCAGAAGAAGCACAGGCUAACUCCGUGCCAGCAGCCGCGGUAAUACGGAGGGUGCAAGCGUUAAUCGGAAUUACUGGGCGUAAAGCGCACGCAGGCGGUCUGUCAAGUCGGAUGUGAAAUCCCCGGGCUCAACCUGGGAACUGCAUUCGAAACUGGCAGGCUAGAGUCUUGUAGAGGGGGGUAGAAUUCCAGGUGUAGCGGUGAAAUGCGUAGAGAUCUGGAGGAAUACCGGUGGCGAAGGCGGCCCCCUGGACAAAGACUGACGCUCAGGUGCGAAAGCGUGGGGAGCAAACAGGAUUAGAUACCCGUGUAGUC
rnacentral:rRNA from 1 species